AAAGAGGCACCUGAAAAUCUUAAAAAGAGUAAGGA
rnacentral:ncRNA from 1 species